GACGAACGCUGGCGGCGUGCCUAAUACAUGCAAGUAGAACGCUGAAGGAGGAGCUUGCUUCUCUGGAUGAGUUGCGAACGGGUGAGUAACGCGUAGGUAACCUGCCUGGUAGCGGGGGAUAACUAUUGGAAACGAUAGCUAAUACCGCAUAAGAGUAGAUGUUGCAUGACAUUUGCUUAAAAGGUGCAAUUGCAUCACUACCAGAUGGACCUGCGUUGUAUUAGCUAGUUGGUGGGGUAACGGCUCACCAAGGCGACGAUACAUAGCCGACCUGAGAGGGUGAUCGGCCACACUGGGACUGAGACACGGCCCAGACUCCUACGGGAGGCAGCAGUAGGGAAUCUUCGGCAAUGGACGGAAGUCUGACCGAGCAACGCCGCGUGAGUGAAGAAGGUUUUCGGAUCGUAAAGCUCUGUUGUAAGAGAAGAACGAGUGUGAGAGUGGAAAGUUCACACUGUGACGGUAUCUUACCAGAAAGGGACGGCUAACACGUG
rnacentral:rRNA from 1 species